CAAUAGCGUAUAUUAAAGUUGUUGCAGUUAAAAAGCUCGUAGUUGGACCUUGGACCUGGACAGGCGGUCCGCCUCACGGCGAGUACUGUCUUGCUGGGUCUUUCCUCUUGGUGAUCUGUUGUUUCGGCAGCAGGGAACCAGGACCUUUACUUUGAAAAAAUUAGAGUGUUCAAAGCAGGCUCGACGCCGGAAUAUAUUAGCAUGGAAUAAUAAAAUAGGACGUGCGGUUCUAUUUUGUUGGCUUUUGGAAUCGCCGUAAUGAUUAAUAGGGACAGUCGGGGGCAUUAGUACUCACAUGCUAGAGGUGAAAUUCUUGGAUUUUGUGAAGACUAACUUCUGCGAAAGCAUUUGACAAGGAUGUUUNCAUUA
rnacentral:rRNA from 1 species